AGUACAUUCACAUCUAACAAAUAUCCUACCUGUCUGGCUCUGGAACCAUUUAUGUUUCUCAUUCUCAAUCCAAACAAUGGGUAUACUAUUUCUCUUUUCUCCAUUCAGCUUUUACUUUCUCAAGUUCAAAAAAUAGUACCGACAUAUGAAACAUUUGUUGAAGUCAUCCUUGCAAACAUAUUGCUCGACGAUGACUGUGAGACUGUUGUGGGAGAAUUUGGAUUGGCAAAGCUUUUGGAUCAUCGUCAUUCGCAUGUCACAACUGCAGUUAGGGGUACUGUAGGACAUAUAGCUUCUGAGUAUCUCUCUACAGGACAGUCCUCUGAUAAAACAGAUGUUUUCGGGUUUGGCAUUCUCCUAUUAGAGUUGAUAUCUGGCCAGAGAGCUCUUGAAUUUGGUAAAGCAGCAAAUCAGAAAGGCGCUAUGCUUGAUUGGGUAAAGAAGAGUCACCAGGAAAAAAAGCUUGACAUGCUGGUGAGGAAGGACUUACAACAACAACAACAAACUCAGUGUAUUCCCACCUGGUGGGGUCUGGGGGUAGGAUGUACGCAGUCCAUACCUCUACCUCUGAAGAAGUAGAAAGGCUGUUUCCGAUAGACCCCCGGCUCAAGACACGCGGUACCACACAAACAUAUAGUAAAGCACAGCACAAGGUUACAAGAUUACAUAACAUAAAUACGGUACCCAUAAGUAAUCUAAAACAAAGGAAAACACACAGAUUCAUAAUAAAACAUGGGACACGGACUCCUAACAGGAAUAAACCCCCACCACGUAGUUCCCUACACUAGCGACUCAGGCUGGCCCUAGUCCUCUGCCCUGAUUCGCGUCCUCCAGACCUUCCUAUCUAGGGUCAUGUCCUCGGUGAGCUGUAACUGCUCCAUGUCUCGCCUAAUCACCUCACCCCAGUACUUAUUCGGCCUACCCCUACCCCGCUUAAAACCAUCCAACGCUAGCCUCUCACACCUACGGACCGGGGCAUCCAUGCCCCUCCUCUUCACGUGUCCGAACCAUCUCAAUCGGGCUUCCCGCAUCUUGCACUCCACUGGUGUCACACCAACCUUCUCUCGGAUGUUCUCAUUCCGAACUCUAUCCCCUCUAGUCAGCCCACACAUCCAGCGCAACAUCCGCAUUUCUGCCACCCUCAUCUUUUGGAUGUGGGAGUUCUUCACUGGCCAACACUCCGCUCCAUACAACAUGGCCGGAUGGACUACCGCCCUGUAGAAUUUGCCUUUAAGCUUAGGCGGCACCUUCUUAUCACACAGCACCCCCGACGCGAGCUUCCACUUCAUCCAUCCCGCCCCAAUACGGUGCGAGACAUCCUCGUCAAUCUCACCGUUACUCUGGAUCACGGACCCGAGAUACUUGAAACUCUCCCUCUUACCUACCUCCUGUGAUUCCAGCUUCACUACUACCUCAUUCUCCCGCCUCACGUCAUUAAACUUGCAUUCCGCAUACUCUGUCUUGCUCCUGCUCACCCUGAACUCUUUAGACUCAAGGGUUUGCCUCCACACCUCUAAUUUGUCACUCACACCCCCUCGAGUCUCAUCUAUCAGAACUACAUCGUCUGCAAAAAGCAUACACCACGGCACCUCCCCUUGAAUACGCCGCGUCAACACAUCCAUCACCACUGCAAACAAAAAGGGACUAAGAGUAGAUCCCUGAUGCAACCCUGUCCGGACCGUGAAAUGUUCUGAGUCUCCUCCCGCCGUCCUCACCUUAGUUUUCGCUCCAUCAUACAUAUCCUUGAUUGCUCUGAUAUAUGCCAGCGGUACUCCCCUCACCUCCAAGCAUCUCCAAAGCACCUCCCUGGGGACUUUGUCGUAGGCCUUCUCCAGGUCGAUAAACACCAUGUGCAGGUCCUUCUUCCUCUCCCUAUACUGUUCCACCAACCUCCGUACCAGGUGAAUUGCCUCCGUCGUCGAGCGGCCAGGCAUAAAUCCAAACUGGUUUUCUGAAAUAGACACUAUCCGUCUCAGCCUCACCUCGACCACUCUCUCCCAGAUCUUCAUAGAGUGACUCAAUAACUUAAUCCCCCUAUAGUUGUUGCAACUCUGGAUGUCCCCCUUAUUCUUAUAGAGAGGUAUCAUGGUGCUCCACCUGCAAGCCUCGGACAUCUUUGCUGUCUUGAAGAUUUCAUUAAACAAUUCCGUCAACCACCUAAGACCAGCCUCUCCAACGAACUUCCAAAACUCGACCGGUAUCUCAUCCGGCCCCGUCGCCCUACCCCUUCGCAUUCUGCGAACAGCCUGUCUAACCUCUUCUACCUUAAAACGUCUACAAUAGCUAAAAUCUCGACACUCCUCUGAGUGCUCCAGUUCCCCUAACACAAUAGCUCUAUCCCCUUCGUCAUUCAAGAGCCUAUGAAAGUACGACUGCCAUCUAUGCUUAAUGUGGCCGUCUUUCACCAACACUCUACCGUCCUCCCCCUUAAUGCACCUCACCUGAUCGAGGUCACGACCCUUCCUCUCCCUAGCCUUAGCGAGUCUAAACAACUUUUUCUCCCCUUCCUUCCCCUGUAACCCUGCAUACAGGCUCUCAAAGGCGGCCGUCUUAGCUGCCGUGACUGCUGACUUAGCCUCCUUCCUCGCUAGCUUGUACUCUUUCCUGUUUACCCGCUUCUCCUCUUCAUCCUUACUCUCCACCAACUUGGCAUACGCCCCUUUCUUGGUCCCCACUUUCUUCUCCACCUCUUCAUUCCACCACCAAUCCCCCUAUGGUGCCCGGCCCGGCCCCUAGAAACCCCCAACACCUCACUUGCAUUCUUCCUGAUGCACCUAGCCGCCCUAUCCCACAUACUAUCCACGUCUCCCCUACACUCCCACACCCCCAUUCCUGCCAACUUCUCCCCUAUCUCCCACGCAUUCACUGGCGUCAAGCCGCCCCACUUAAUUCUAGGUCUACACUCCCUACUCCUCCUCUUUCUAUUCUUCUUUAUACCCAAAUCCAUAACCAAGAGCCUAUGUUGGGUCGAAAGGUUCUCACUCGGGAUGACCUUACAGUCCUUACACCACGCCCUAUCCCUUUUCCUAAGCAACAAAAAGUCAAUCUGGGUCCUGGCUACCGCGCUUCGAAAGGUGAUCAGGUGCUCGUCCUUCUUCGGGAAGCCCGAGUUCACCACCACCAGCCCAAAGGACCUCGCAAACUCCAAUAGGGUAGCCCCCUCCUCAUUUCUCUCCCCAAAACCAAAACCACCAUGCACAUCACCAAAGCCUCCCGGUAGCGCCCCGAUGUGCCCGUUGAAAUCUCCUGCUACGGUACAAGUAUGAUCGGAUCGAGCUCGAGGAAAUGGUACAAGUAGCUCUAAUAUGCUACGGUAAACAACAAAGUCUGUUGAGGUUAUGAAGUCACUUAGUCGAACUAGGAAACUAUAAGGAAAGGGACGCUAAGGUUAUGAAGUAAGGCCACCUUAAGGGUUGAUGGAAAGGUUCAUUAUCCACCGAGGCACAAACCGUUCUCCACCGGCUCUCGAAGAUCCAAUCAAAAGGUGAAAAAAGGGCUUGGGGGCAUCGAUUUGAAUCAAAGGUUCCUGUCGGUAGAUCUACACUUGGCCGUAUUAUGAAUGUCAUUGGAGAGGCAAUUGAUGAGAGAGGCCCAAUUAGGAAGUCAUGAUUGCUGUGGAUAACAUGUUACAUUAUACUAUUAGUAUUGUAAUUCGAUUUUGAGGAGGAGAGAGCCUAGCUUCUCAUCUACAGACAAGAUUCAAGCAAUUUUUAAGCACGUCGAUUCACUAGGGUUGCCUGGAGUUGGAAAUUACAGUUUGAUAUCAAACUUUCCGAGGAAAGUGUAUGGUGUGGAUAAAGUGGGAGUGACACUCAAAGAAGCUACUUUGCCCCAGCAACUAUGCAAAACCCUUCAUCACCAUGUUAAGCACAACUUUAUGAAAUCAUGAGGAUAAAUAAUUGACAGCAAAGUUGUUGCCAUCAGAAAUGUACAUAAGAAUCACUUGACGCUUAGAUUUGCAAGGAAGAUUCCGCUGCUGAAUUGCUUUCCAGUCUGUAUCCAUAAUAUUAAAACUUUUAAGAACCUUGUCCAUUGAUGAAACUGCAGAAGUGGAAGACGAACACUACAUUUUAUUUAACAAAAGCACAAUAAAACGACUAGUGAAAUUCUUUAUUUAGAACAGCUUCUAGGCCCUCAUAGAGGUAACUAGCUUCUUCCAGUUGUUUUCAUACUCAAUAUACAGUAUAUUGGUGUUUGCCAAUAUCAAUAUACUGUAGUGUUUGGUUAUAUCUCUAUUUAAACAUGAAUUAUUUAUGAGGAUACUUCUUCUGAAUAAGAGAAGCUCGUAGCCAAUCACUUCGACAAGCCAUAUAGAAUCACAUUUUACAUUAGUUACUAAUGGGAAUAUCACCCAGGUUUGCUUUUCUUGGCUAUUAUCUAUACUUUGUCAUGUGUCUUCUGUGUACUCUGUUUUCAUUUGUUCAGAGAUGCUCUCCGGUAGUGCUGUUAGUAGUACUGUUCAAUUUUCAAGCCAGAAUGUGAAAGAGAAGAAUUUCAGUUUUCCUACUUUUCUUCAAUAUUCCAUCGUUUGUCCCUCAUUUUGGUUUAAUAACUAUAUAGCCAAAAAUCUUAAUCUAUUGUGGAGUUUGGCUGUGACAAAAAAUAUAAAAAGUACAGCUAAUUCAAUAAAAGUCUUUACUAUUAAAAUGUACAAGAAAAUAUGAAAGCUUAUUUUAGCACAAAAUAAAAAGUACAUUCAAUCUCCUCACGAUUUUUAUUCGUAAUGGCAAAGUAGUUUAGUUUUUCUCAAACAAGCAUGCUAUAUGUAUAUAUAUCGUGACUAUUCAAACUUCACAGCAUGCUCCAAUUUCUUACCCCAGUAAAUUCUCUUAUAAGGUGAUUCUGGGUAACAUUUGGUGAUUAUAUUAUGCCAAAUAAUUCAAACCUGAACGGUGAUUUCCAAUGCUCUUUUCUAUUUUCCAAAGGAGAGGCAUUACUUUUGAACACAUUAGAAUCUUCAUAUUUUGUUGAGACCUCUAUUGGCUACAAAUUACCUGUGUUUUAUAAUACUUUGUAUCUGUUAGAUUUUAUUGGACCUGGCAUAUUUGUUUUGCUCAUAUGAGGAUCAUUUUUUUAGAAAGACAUCUUCUCAAUGUACCUUGCCAUGGAUAAGUUCAAUUCUUCGUCGUUGUCUUCUGAUUUCCAAGUGGGUGAAUCUUCUUCAGCAGCUGCAACUUCACGUUCAUCAUAAAUAUAAGGAAUGGCAUCAGCGACAAAUAAAGUUGCUCCUACUGUUGGUGAGAAGCCAAGACUUAGACAUCAGCAUAGCCAGUCCAUGGAUGGUUCAACUACAAUCAAAUCAGAGAUGCUCAUGUCAGGAGUGGAAGAGCCAUCUUGAGCUGAAACUGAGAAAGUGACGUCCACUGCUAAGCUUGCUGAACUUGCUCUUAUUGAUCUGAAACGUACCAAGCGAAAUUUGCCAGCGGACUCUUCUGUCAUCUUUUCUCUUUCAAUCGCUGAAGAACACUGAAAUAAUGAUGGUAACCGGAGAUGAAACAGUUGCUGAUGGAUUCAGCUUCAGAGAACCCACUUAACGGAAGAUUCCCACGCAUGGAGGUGCUGAAUUCGGGAAGUAUGUCUUGCUCUAUGUUGUUCGAUCUCCUUACGUGCUUGUCAGAGGUGAUUGCCUUGUCCACAUUGUUAGGUCCUGUUACAAUGUCUUAUCUCGGGGGGCUUAAAUGGCACCAAUCAGAUCUGCGCCAAGUCCGUUCUUGCUCAGACGAUGAUUAUUGUUUUCAUCAGAGUGAAGGAGAAUUCCAUGAUGGUGGACUUCAAGACCGUCUCUGUUGCUUAACUCUUGGAGUUCACCGAUAGGAAUUUGAACGAGGGUAGCUCUAUACAGUUCACCCGGAACUUCCUCAAUGAAAUUGUGGAUUCCACGUCCAAAGAAGGCAUCGCUGAAUCGAAGUUGUGUUUGCAGUUGGAGAAUAACAACAGUGCAAAAAAGGGUGAGCCCAUUGACGGGGAACCGAGUGAAGGAGCUGAUCUGAGUGGUUACAGUAAGAUUAGAGAGGAUGGGUUCAUGCUCUUCAAGAAUUUGUGCAAAUUGCCUUUGAAGUUUUCAUCACAAGAGCAUGCAGAUGACAAUAUUUUGUUAAGAGGGAAAGUACUACCAUUGGAGCUCCUAAAGGUUAUAAUGGAUAAUGCUGGUCCCAUUUGGCGCUCACCCUAAGAGCGCGCAGCAUUUUGAUACACCACACCCUGACUGUUGGUAAACACAAGUGAUGAUGCCUCGUGGAAGAACCAUGAAUUGUAUAAGGGAAUUCGCAGUGAUUAUGCCCAAACAAAAUAAGACGGGGAGAUGGAAUACAAGUACCUAAAAAUGCUGCAGAUUCAUAAACUUUCCUUGAUUAGAGAAGAUGUUGAGAACAUCAUAAGGUGCUAUCAUAAUUUCUUCAGCUUGUCAAGCAAUUCUUGGAUACAGUGGGCUGAUGUCAGUAUUAGUGAGUUCAUUUGGUGAGCAGAUCUUGUUUGAAAAGUUGAAAAAAGAUUUAAGAGUCAAGUUGAAGUCAGAGAGCAUUUGAAGAAAAGUGAACUGUUAGCUUCUUUAUAGUUGUCAUUUUGAGGAGAAAAGCUGAUUGGGGGUGGAAACUCCACUGGUUUCUUGAUCAGUCUCAUUUUAUUGUCAUUGAAGCUGAUUGAUAAGCAGCCACCCAUUAAUUUGAUCUGAUUUGAGUUAUUUAAUUAUAUGGUAC